UCGGUCUUAGCAGAUCCCUUUCUCUCCUUGCCCCCUCCCAACCAACCAGUUGGAAAACGGCAGUUAAACCAGGCCAGCAAGAUAUUCCUAGCGCUUUAGAAUUGUUAAUUGUUGUUUUGGUUGUUUGUGUAGAGGCAAAUCAGAGGGAGAGAAGAUGCCCACAAGUGAAGUAGGAAAAGGAGGGAGACAAAAAGGAGGGAAAAGAAAGAAUAAAGAAGGCCAGAUCUUCCUUUCUGGGACUCCACAGCUUGGGCUCCUGAAGGGACAUGAAAUCUCAACCAGCAAACACAGAGGGAAUGGAGGAGUGAAAGAAGCCUUCCUAUUCACUUCCAGGAAAUACAUGUGCUAACUCACAAGCAUGCCUGUGCCCAGACAUUUAAUGUCUCUUCAAAAGGAGGGAAGAAAGCCUUUCGCCAGGUGAGGCAAAAGUCCUCCCUUUGUCCCUGAGCCUCACAAAAGUGUCCUGGACAAAAAGUAAGAAAAUGGAACUCAGGUCUCUUUC